AAUUAGAGAUUUUAGGGAAUUACUGUUGGCUUAAUCCGGACACAGCACUUGUCAGUUGCACUUCUUAUGUGCAAAUGCACUGAGAGAAAGGAGAUCAGGAAAGUAUAGAUGAUCAUCAGUCAUGUUUAAUGAUGAGGAUAAGAAGUAGCAGAACAAAUUCUGGAAAUUUUACCUGGCAUCAGCGCUGCCAGGAAGGUGAUCACCACCAUCAGCAUUAGAGCCAAGAUCUGUGCCUUUGCCAUGACGAAAAUUGUCCUCUUCACAGAGACUGUUCUAUCGCACUUUGAGAAGUUG